rnacentral:misc_RNA from 1 species
GAUGAAGAACGCAGCGAAAUGCGAUAAGUAAUGUGAAUUGCAGAAUUCAGUGAAUCAUCGAAUCUUUGAACGCACCUUGCGCCCCUUGGUUAUUCCAAAGGGCAUGCCUGUUUGAGUAUCAUGAACACCUCAACUCUUGUGGUUUCCCACAAUGAGCUUGGACUGUGGAGGUUUUGUUGGCCCUGUGGUCAGCUCCUCUCAAAUGGAUCAGCUUACCGGUGUUUGGUGGCAUUACGGGUGUGAUAACUAUCUACGCUCGUGGUCGUCUCCAAAUAACCUCCAGUGAUGGGGGUUCGCUGGAGCUUAUAAAUGUCUCUCCCCAGCGAAGACAGCCUUUGAACGUUCGAUCUCAAAUCAGGUACGACUACCCGCUGAACUUAAGCAUAUCAAUAAGCGGAGGA